GUAGCUCCAGCAAGGCUGAGGCUUGGAACCAAACUGAAUAUCUUACUAGAGGCACACAGCCUGUCCCAGCCAAUCACAGUCAAAGUCAUUGUCUAUGCAUUCGAUAAGGAAUCCGUCCUGAUGCGGGACUCUGCCAUCCUCAAUUCAGACAACCGCUAUAGUGAUCUCAAAACCAUUGAGAUCAAACCAAACCUGUUAAAAAAAAAAUUGAAAACAUUUUUGAGAUUGGUUGUGGAAUUUGGGAGUUUCCACAAAGCUGAGAAAAUUAUCAUGGUGUCGUUCCGGUCUGGAUACAUCUUCAUUCAAACUGAUAAACCGGUUUACAACCCUGGAGACACAGUUCAUUACAGGGCUUUUGUAUCCAGUCAUGAAUUCCAAGCUUUCAACAGAAACAUAUCUCUUGAGAUUCAGAACCCAGAUGGUGUUGUGGUGCACAUCAGCUCCAACUCCAGUGCAAGCGACGGGAUUCUCUCUGAAAGCUACCCCCUCCACACUUUGGACAAACAGGGAAAAUGGAAAGUUGUUGCGAAGUUUGAUGAUGUUGAAGAAAACACAUUCAGUGCGGAGUUUCAUGUAAAGAAAUAUGUUCUCCCGGCAUUCAACGUCACUUUAACGCCAAAGAAACCCUACUUCAGCCUACUUGAGAAAAAGUUGGAAGUAGAAGUCAGAGCCAGGU